GUGAAGCAAAUCCAGUCUGUUCCAAUUAUGAAUCAGAGCACUUUACUCCACUUAAGUGCAUUACGCCCUAAUCAGUGCAUGGUUGUACUUGUUAGUGCAUGACCGCUCAUAUUCAUGCAAAGUUCUGGCAGGAGGCGUACAGCUGAUGGAAGUGAGGAAAUGACCAUAAAAGGAUUUGCUUCAGCAGCUCUGGGCAGGGAACCAUGGCCUGAUCUGCGCUAAGCCCUGGACUCUAAAUCCCUCUCAGACGCUCAGUAAUGCGCUCGGUGUGGGACCACACUGAGGUCAUGUCACUCAUCUGAGCCCAGACCACAGCUUGGUGUCUGACGGAGGGAUCUUCUCCUACCCCCCCCUAAUCAUCCUCUUUCAUUUCUUCCCUACCACUGACUCUCAGCUCGGGUCACUAUCUAACCUUCCGCACUCAUCCUCUCUGCUGCCAGGCGAGAGAUUAUCGAUCAGCUGUUGGUAGAGUUGUCUUUUUCCAGCUUUUAAUUAGGAUUGAAGGAGCUUCAGCAGGACGACUAAAUCUGUACAUUUCAUUUCAUGUUGUCCCUGAGCAUUUUCCCAUCCAUACAUACAAAGUCACUUUUAUUGAGGAUGUGCAAAUGUGAAAUAACAAUUUAAGAAAUAUGUUUCAUAGCCACAUUGGGAGGACCAUACAUUUUUACUUUUUAAUGAAAACUAAUAUAACCAAGGAACAUGCAAAAAGCAUUCUUUAAACAAUGUUUGUUUUAUUAAUAACAAAAAUCUAUCCAAAAUA